UCCGUAGGUGAACCUGCGGAGGGAUCAUUACAGAGUUGCAAAACUCCCAACCCUUUGUGAAUCCACUGGACAAUUGCCUCGGUAGGGGCCCUUCAGGGGGCUGCCCGCCGGAGGACCACUAAACUCUGUAUUUUUGGCCUCUCUGAGUAAUUCUAUAAUGAAUCAAAACUUUCAACAACGGAUCUCUUGGUUCUGGCAUCGAUGAAGAACGCAGCGAAAUGCGAUACGUAAUGUGAAUUGCAGAAUUCAGUGAAUCAUCGAAUCUUUGAACGCACAUUGCGCCCACCAGCACUCUGGCGGGCAUGCCUGUUCGAGCGUCAGCAAAACACCCUCAGUCUGAGUAUUUUUGUAUUCAGCACUGGUUUUGGGCAGCGGAUGCCGGUGGUUAUUACUUUCCACCUGCACCCUCCCUAAAAUUGCUGCACGACCGCAAGCCCCUUCUAGCCAGGUCAAUGGAGUGGUGUUACAAUCUUCCAGAAAGCCUGCUGGUAAACUGCUUUGCGGCGUUAAUCCUUAAUGCCUCCCUUGGUGGAGACUUGAAGUUUUGACCUCAGGAUCAGGACAAGGGGGAUACCCGGCUGGAACUUAAGGCAUAUCAAUAAGGCGGGGAGGGGAAGGU
rnacentral:rRNA from 1 species